rnacentral:rRNA from 1 species
AUGGAAACAUUCCUAGCCCCGGAUGCAGAAGCUAUACUGAAUAUACCAAUACGUACUGGUGGUGGAGAGGAUUUCUUUGCUUGGGCUUUCAAAAAUUCGGGUGUGUACUCUGUAAAGUCGGCGUACCGUACUCUCGUGAAUCAAAAAGAGCGUUUGGCUCCAGAGGAAGGGACAGUUACCGGUACCUCAAAAUCAGAACAACAGAUGUGGACAUCUCUCUGGAAGCUCAAAGUUGUGCCUAAGGUGAGGGUGUUUUGGUGGAGAGUGCUACGUGGAAUUCUCCCUGAUGAAGCUACCCUUAAGCAUAAACACAUUAAACCUCUUAGCAUUUGCAAUGUUUGCCUCGCUAGAGAGGAGGAUCUGAUGCAUGCUUUGGUCUCCUGCUCCCAUGCACGUAGAUUCUGGGAUGAAGCGCAAAUAUGGUUCGACUUUCGUCUUCCAAGGCUGCGUCCUACCACUUGGGCGAGAGAUAUUUUGUGUGAUGACAGGUUCACGGACCAAGUCAGAGCAAAAAUCAUAUCCGGGAUGUGGCCCACUUGGCAUUCAAGGAACCGAUGGACUCAUGAGAAGGAACAUGUGGAUCUGGUGUACUCUGUUCGUCGCAUAAGAGAAGAUCUGGCCUUGCUAGAUAUACAAGCUGCACAAGCUACUAUACUGCCAGGGCACGGUUGGCGACCCCCUGAUAUUGGGUUUAUCAAGAUCAAUGUUGAUGGUGCUAUAAAUUCUGAAGCAGGACUCGCUGGUGCCGGCGGUGUUGCUCGCUCUUCUAUGACAUUGAUCGCUUCAUGGUGCAAACCACAUGUGGGAGUAACAGACCCACUCAUUGCCGAAGCCUUAUCACUAAGGUAG